rnacentral:rRNA from 1 species
CCUACGGGAGGCAGCAGUGGGGAAUAUUGGACAAUGGGCGAAAGCCUGAUCCAGCAAUGCCGCGUGUGUGACGAAGGCCUUAGGGUUGUAAAGCACUUUCACCCGCGAGGAUGAUGACGGUAGCGGGAGAAGAAGCCCCGGCUAACUCCGUGCCAGCAGCCGCGGUAAUACGGAGGGGGCGAGCGUUGUUCGGAAUUACUGGGCGUAAAGGGCGUGUAGGCGGCCUUGUCAGUCAGGCGUGAAAUCCCCGGGCUCAACCUGGGACGUGCGCUUGAUACUGCAGGGCUUGAGAGCGAGAGAGGUAAGCGGAAUUCCCAGUGUAGAGGUGAAAUUCGUAGAUAUUGGGAAGAACACCAGUGGCGAAGGCGGCUUACUGGCUCGUUUCUGACGCUGAGGCGCGAAAGCGUGGGGAGCGAACAGGAUUAGAUACCCUGGUAGUCCACGCCGUAAACGAUGUGUGCCAGACGUCGGGGGUUAGGCCUUCGGUGUCGCAGCUAACGCAUUAAGCACACCGCCUGGGGAGUACGGCCGCAAGGUUAAAACUCAAAGGAAUUGACGG